GGCGAACGCUGGCGGCGUGCUUAACACAUGCAAGUCGAACGGAAAGGCCCUGCUUGCAGGGUACUCGAGUGGCGAACGGGUGAGUAACACGUGGGUGAUCUGCCCUGCACUUCGGGGUAAGCCUGGGCAACUGGGUCUAAUACCGGAUAGGGGCCAUUUUUAGUGUGAUGGUUGGAAAGUUUUUUCGGUGUAGGAUGAGCUCGCGGCCUAUCAGCUUGUUGGUGGGGUAAUGGCCUACCAAGGCGGCGACGGGUAGCCGGCCUGAGAGGGUGGACGGCCACAUUGGGACUGAGAUACGGCCCAGACUCCUACGGGAGGCAGCAGUGGGGAAUAUUGCACAAUGGGCGCAAGCCUGAUGCAGCGACGCCGCGUGGGGGAUGACGGCCUUCGGGUUGUAAACUCCUUUCGCUAGGGACGAAGCUUUUUGUGACGGUACCUAGAUAAGAAGCACCGGCUAACUACGUG
rnacentral:rRNA from 1 species